CCUACGGGAGGCAGCAGUGGGGAAUAUUGCGCAAUGGGCGAAAGCCUGACGCAGCGACGCCGCGUGAGGGAUGAAGGUCUUCGGAUCGUAAACCUCUGUCAGCAGGGAAGAACGGUCACUGUGCUAAUCAGCAGUGAAUUGACGGUACCUGCAAAGGAAGCACCGGCUAACUCCGGGCCAGCAGCCGCGGUAAUACGGAGGGUGCGAGCGUUAAUCGGAAUUACUGGGCGUAAAGGGCUCGUAGGCGGUAUGUCAAGUCAAGGGUGAAAUCCCCGGGCUCAACGUGGGAACUGCCUUUGAAACUGGCAAACUUGAGUGUGUGAGAGGAUAGUGGAAUGCCAGGUGUAGGAGUGAAAUCCGUAGAUAUCUGGAGGAACAUCAGUGGCGAAGGCGACUAUCUGGCACAUAACUGACGCUGAGGAGCGAAAGCGUGGGUAGCAAACAGGAUUAGAUACCCGGGUAGUC
rnacentral:rRNA from 1 species